rnacentral:rRNA from 1 species
GACGAACGCUGGCGGCGUGCUUAACACAUGCAAGUCGAACGGCAAGGCCCUGCUUUUGUGGGGUGCUCGAGUGGCGAACGGGUGAGUAAUACGUGAGUAACCUGCCCUUGACUUUGGGAUAACUUGCGGAAACUGGGUCUAAUACCCGAUAGGAGCUCGUGCUGCAUGGUGGGGGUUGGAAAGUUUCGGCGGUUGGGGAUGGACUGGCGGCUUAUCAGCUUGUUGGUGGGGUAGUGGCUUACCAAGGCUUUGACGGGUAGCCGACCUGAGAGGGUGACCGGCCACAAUGGGACUAAGAUACGGCGCAGACUCCUACGGGGGGCAGCAGUGGGGAGUAUGGCACAGUGGGCGGGAGCCUGAUGCAGCAGCGCCGCGUGCGGGAUGACGGCCUUCGGGUUGUAAACCGCUUUCGCCUGUGACGAAGCGUGAGUGACGGUAAUGGGUAAAGAAGCACCGGCUAACUACGUG